rnacentral:rRNA from 1 species
UACGAAGGGGGCGAGCGUUGUUCGGAAUUACUGGGCGUAAAGGGCGCGCAGGCGGCUCUGAAAGUCAGAUGUGAAAGCCCCGGGCUUAACCUGGGAAUUGCAUUUGAUACUCUGGAGCUUGAGUGUGGGAGAGGAGAGUGGAAUUCCCAGUGUAGAGGUGAAAUUCGUAGAUAUUGGGAAGAACACCCGUGGCGAAGGCGGCUCUCUGGAACGCAACUGACGCUGAGACGCGAAAGCGUGGGGAGCAGACAGG